rnacentral:rRNA from 1 species
UACGUAGGGGCCGAGCGUUGUCCGGAUUCAUUGGGCGUAAAGAGCGUGUAGGCGGCCGCUUAAGUCCUGCGUGAAAUCUCGGAGCUCAACUCCGAGCGGUCGUGGGAAACUGGGCGGCUAGAGUGCGGGAGAGGAGAGUGGAAUUCCUGGUGUAGCGGUGGAAUGCGCAGAUAUCAGGAAGAACACCCGUGGCGAAGGCGGCUCUCUGGAACGCAACUGACGCUGAGACGCGAAAGCGUGGGGAGCAAACAGGAUUAGAUACCCUGGUAGUCCACGCCGUAAACGAUGGACGCUAGGUGUGGGCGGUGUCGACUCCGUCCGUGCCGAAGCUAACGCAUUAAGCGUCCCGCCUGGGGAGUACGGCCGCAAGGCUAAA